CCUAGUUCAGAAGGUGGGUACUGGAGAAUUUUUUCUCAUAAGGGGUAGGUGUCGAGUGUGUGAGGGCGGCAGCAUUAGGUGAUAACGGUAGCAGUUCGAGGUCGGGGCCGGUCUGGGAGACGGAGUAAGAGGUAGGGACGAUUCGUAUGUUGGGGUAGAAAGAGGUCCGGCGGAGGUGGUGGUCGGAGCUCUCGGUCUGGGUUCGAGCAAGCCGAUUCUGUCGACGAGCUCGCUUAACUAUACCCUCCCGAUACGUCCAGCCGUCUCCAUCGCUGGCGGCGGCGCUAUGUGGCCGCGGCUCGGGUCUCUUGUUCUAAUACAACCCCGCGGUUAGAAGCAAGCUCUAUUUAGGAACGCCGAUCUCGAUAAGAAACCUUAAAGGAACCACGCGCGAUGCCGUGGACGCGCUGCCGCUCAUAGUAGGUCUAGUUACGCGAGGGGGGAUGUUCACCUUGAGGUGCUCAGCGUUGGCAGCCGAUAACUUGGAUUGGCGACUCUAAAAGAAGACCCCCGUCAGUAACAAACCAAGGUCCUCUCCCGAUCUCGCUUUCUCAUUGAUAUCGUUUGUUUUCACUACGGAGAUGAAGUAUUUUCCCACUCGGCACAGAGAUUCAGGCGAACCGACAUUAAAUAGGUACAAUAAAUGUGAAGUUACAGGCUGUGGAUAUCCCAGACUACUAAGUGCUGACCGGCUGACCGGGACAAUCUUAUUUUACGAUUACGUUCUAGUAUCUGCUGUGUGGCUCCGUACUAUAAACAAUUGCUCCAAGUGGCUAUACCG
rnacentral:rRNA from 1 species